rnacentral:rRNA from 1 species
CCUACGGGUGGCUGCAGUGGGGAAUCUUGGACAAUGGGCGAAAGCCUGAUCCGGCAAUAUGGCGUGAGUGAAGAAGGGCAACGCAGCUUGUAAAGCUCUUUCAUCGAGUGUGCGAUUGUGACAAGACUCGAAUAAGAAGCCCCGGCUAACUCCGUGCCAGCAGCCGCGGUAAGACGGGGGGGGCUAGUGUUAUUCAGAAUGACUAGGCGUAAAGGGCACGUAGGCGGUGAAUCCGGUUGAGAGUGAAAGUCGCCAGCUCAACUGGCGGAAUGCUU